rnacentral:rRNA from 1 species
AGUGAACGCUGGCGGUAGGCCUAACACAUGCAAGUCGAACGGCAGCACAGUAAGAGCUUGCUCUUACGGGUGGCGAGUGGCGGACGGGUGAGGAAUACAUCGGAAUCUACUUUUUCGUGGGGGAUAACGUAGGGAACUUACGCUAAUACCGCAUACGACCUACGGGUGAAAGCAGGGGAUCUUCGGACCUUGCGCGAUUGAAUGAGCCGAUGUCGGAUUAGCUAGUUGGCGGGGUAAAGGCCCACCAAGGCGACGAUCCGUAGCUGGUCUGAGAGGAUGAUCAGCCACACUGGAACUGAGACACGGUCCAGACUCCUACGGGAGGCAGCAGCGGGGAAUAUUGGACAAUGGGCGCAAGCCUGAUCCAGCCAUACCGCGUGGGUGAAGAAGGCCUUCGGGUUGUAAAGCCCUUUUGUUGGGAAAGAAAAGCAGCAGGUUAAUACCCCGCUGUUCUGACGGUACCCAAAGAAUAAGCACCGGCUAACUUCGUG